rnacentral:rRNA from 1 species
GAUGAACGCUAGCGGAAGGCUUAAUACAUGCAAGUCGAGCGGUAGGUGGCUUCGGCCAUUGAGAGCGGCGCACGGGUGAGUAACGCGUACAUGACCUGCCUGUCAGAAGGGGAUAGCCCUGGGAAACUGGGAUUAAUACCCUAUGGUAUUGAUAUUAUGAAUGAUAUCAAUUAAAGUUGAGGCGCUGACAGAUGGAUGUGCGUCUGAUUAGCUAGUUGGUAGGGUAACGGCCUACCAAGGCGACGAUCAGUAGGGGGCGUGAGAGCGUGGUCCCCCACACGGGUACUGAGACACGGACCCGACUCCUACGGGAGGCAGCAGUAAGGAAUAUUGGUCAAUGCCCGCAAGGGUGAACCAGCCAUUCCGCGUGGAGGAUGAAGGCCCUAUGGGUUGUAAAAACUCUUUUUACCGGGACGAGAGAGGACGGUACCGGUAGAAUAAGUCUCGGCUAACUACGUGCCAGCAGCCGCGGUAAU